rnacentral:rRNA from 1 species
UACAGAGGUCCCAAGCGUUGUUCGGAUUCAUUGGGCGUAAAGGGUGCGUAGGCGGCGCGGUAAGUCGGGUGUGAAAUUUCGGAGCUUAACUCCGAAACUGCAGUUCGAUACUGGCGUGCUUGAGGACUGGAGAGGAGUACGUGGAAUUCGAUGGUGUAGCAGUGAAAUGCGUAGAGAUCAUGAGGAAGACCAGUGGCGAAGGCGGGUCUCCUGGACAGCUUCCGUGACACUGAGACACGAAGGCCAGGGAGCAAACGGGA